AGUCGAGCGAAUGGAUUAAGAGCUUGCUCUUAUGAAGUUAGCGGCGGACGGGUGAGUAACACGUGGGUAACCUGCCCAUAAGACUGGGAUAACUCCGGGAAACCGGGGCUAAUACCGGAUAACAUUUUGCACCGCAUGGUGCGAAAUUCAAAGGCGGCUUCGGCUGUCACUUAUGGAUGGACCCGCGUCGCAUUAGCUAGUUGGUGAGGUAACGGCUCACCAAGGCAACGAUGCGUAGCCGACCUGAGAGGGUGAUCGGCCACACUGGGACUGAGACACGGCCCAGACUCCUACGGGAGGCAGCAGUAGGGAAUCUUCCGCAAUGGACGAAAGUCUGACGGAGCAACGCCGCGUGAGUGAUGAAGGCUUUCGGGUCGUAAAACUCUGUUGUUAGGGAAGAACAAGUGCUAGUUGAAUAAGCUGGCACCUUGACGGUACCUAACCAGAAAGCCACGGCUAACUACGUGCCAGCAGCCGCGGUAAUACGUAGGUGGCAAGCGUUAUCCGGAAUUAUUGGGCGUAAAGCGCGCGCAGGUGGUUUCUUAAGUCUGAUGUGAAAGCCCACGGCUCAACCGUGGAGGGUCAUUGGAAACUGGGAGACUUGAGUGCAGAAGAGGAAAGUGGAAUUCCAUGUGUAGCGGUGAAAUGCGUAGAGAUAUGGAGGAACACCAG
rnacentral:rRNA from 1 species